rnacentral:misc_RNA from 1 species
CAGACAGUUGCUUACCCUCUUGAUGUUAUACGGCGAAGAAUGCAAAUGGUAGGCUGGAAGGAUGCUGCUUCAGUUGUCACUGGUGAUGGGAAGAGUAAAGCGCCUCUUGAAUAUGCUGGUAUGGUUGAUGCCUUCAGGAAAACAGUUCGGCAUGAGGGAUUUGGAGCACUGUAUAAAGGUUUGGUCCCCAAUUCAAUGAAGGUGGUCCCGUCCAUAGCAAUUGCAUUUGUGACGUAUGAGUUGGUGAAGGAAGUUCUUGGAGUUGAGGUGAGGGUAUCCGACUGAAGCAAGAGGAAUUCUAAGAAACAUUUGAAAUUCUGUCGCAAGAGAAGAAAGGAACAUUAGGAGGUGGUCAUUAGUUUAUCUCAUAUCCAGCUAGCGAGGAAUUUUAGAAGCCCAAAUUUAAUCCUUAUUAGUUCUUAGAUUUCUUUUCACAUCUGCUAAGGUAAUAAAGGAAGUAUUUGCGAGGAAGCGAUGCACUGUGUGCAUUCCAAUAGGUUUC